UAACGCGNUGGGAAUCUACCCAGNUAGUGGGGGACAACUACCGGAAACGGUAGCUAAUACCGCAUACGCCCUAUGGGGGAAAGGCUUCGGCCGCUAUUGGAUGAGCCCGCGUCAGAUUAGCUAGUUGGUAGGGUAAAGGCCUACCAAGGCAACGAUCUGUAGCUGGUCUGAGAGGACGAACAGCCACGCUGGGACUGAGACACGGCCCAGACUCCUACGGGAGGCAGCAGUGGGGAAUAUUGGACAAUGGGCGAAAGCCUGAUCCAGCAAUGCCGCGUGUGUGAAGAAGGCCUGCGGGUUGUAAAGCACUUUCAGUUGGGAAGAUGAUGACGUUACCAACAGAAGAAGCACCGGCUAAAUCCGUGCCAGCGGCCGCGGUAAUACGGAUGGUGCGAGCGUUAAUCGGAAUUACUGGGCGUAAAGCGCGCGUAGGCGGCUAAGUCAGUCAGAAGUGAAAGCCCCGGGCUCAACCUGGGAAUUGCUUUUGAUACUGCUUAGCUAGAGUUUGGUAGAGGAUAGUGGAAUUCCAGGUGUAGCGGUGAAAUGCGUAGAUAUCUGGAGGAACAUCAGUGGCGAAGGCGACUGUCUGGACCAAAACUGCCGCUGAGGUGCGAAAGCGUGGGUAGCAAACAGGAUUAGAUACCCUGGUAG
rnacentral:rRNA from 1 species